CCUCUUCGCCGCAACCUUCACACCUUAGCUUAGCUUAGCUUAGCUUUAGUCGUCUCUCCUCUCCAUUUUCCAACACAGCUUUCUCUCCUAUUUCUCAUCUCCUCUCUCCUCCAUCUCCAUUUUCAAAACACAAAUUAAAGCUCCUAUUCUUUCCACUUCACCCAGCGGUUUAAUUUUGACCGGCGUGCUUGCUCGCUCGCUUAGACCAACAUCGGAGCUGUUUGACUGGCAGCGGACUGGUUUGACCGCCGUACAUUAGCGGCACAGGAGUGGUUUCCCCAACAUUGGAGGCGUUUCAUUUGCGGCGGAGAUCGCCAACGCCGGCUGCUUGUUAUGGAUCCACCACUAUUUCACCCCGGACCAAUUGAUUCAUCACUUCUUGUAUGCCAACAGAAGCAUCGAUGUCAGUCAAUAUGGAACAAUAAAAAUUUCGAUUCUCGAUUAAGAUUAUUGAAGUAUGAUAGUCAGGCAUUUACUGCCAAAUCUCAAGAACCGAUAAUGGUUAAAUAUCUGAGAACAGCAGGGUUUUACGGUGUUUCACAUUUGGGUUGUAUUAAUCUUGAUCACGGUCUGAUCACGGCACUUAUAGAGAGGUGGCACCCAGAGGUUCAUGCUUUUCAUUUUCCAUUCGGUGAGGUCGGCAUAACACUUCAAGACGUUGAAGUGCUAUUUGGUUUGAAGGUAGACGGGCGUGCAGUCACCGGUAAAGAUAAACGUUGUUUUGAUGAUUGGAAUGCUCGAUGCCACAGAUUAUUGGGAUACCGCCCUCAAAAUUCUUUUGUGACCCCGAGCAAGAUUAACUUUUCCGCAUUACCAUCGAUGCCUACCGUGAAUGCAUAUAGCACUAAUUUGGAAGUGCAACAGGCUACUCGGAUCUUGAUUCUUCAUUUGUUUGGAGAUUUUCUGUUUCCUGACAUAAUUAACGAAGAAUCAAGUAAAGUUAUUUUUAUUAGAUUUUUUUGGAGGAUUUUGAGGAGUGUGGUCAAUACAGUUGGGGAUCCGCUGUGUUAGCCUAUCUUUAUAGGUCAAUGUGUCCUGCAACAGAUUUUCAGGUCUCAUCAGCGGGUGGAUGUCUUAUCUUAUUACAAAUAUGGGCAUGGGAAAGAUUGCCUAUGGUAAGGCCGCGUGGAGUAUUACCUUUGGACCAGCUCGGUGAUUUGCCAUAUGCAGCCAGGUGGUUGUGCUCACACAGUCGGCCUACCGUGACGAAACACGUUAUCCGUGCUUAUCGAGACCGAUUUGAUCGGGUUAAAGCUAAAAACUUUAAGUUCACUCCUUAUAACAUUGAGAGUUUGCCAGAGUAUUGUCGAGCUGGAGCACUUAUUUGGAGAGCGCGAGUGCCAUUAGUGUUUUUCUAUGUGAUUGAGCAUUACUACCCAGAGCGCUUUUGCAGACAAUUCAAUUAUUUGUAAGACAUUCCUCCAUUUGUGCGUUAUAGCCAAAAGAUGCAUGAUACUGACGCUCGAUCGGGAAAAUACAUUAUUGAUUGGGGUGAAAAGCAUGCAAUACACAUUGAACGGUGGGAAGAUCGACACAAUCUUGUAGUUGCGAUGAUACCAAACCAACAAUCAAGGAUCACAGCACGUUACAAAGUGUGGUUUCAUCGGUAUGAUAGACGAGUUAUUGGUAACCCAGUUCAUGAUCCACAGUAUUGGUAUGUCAAAUCUGCUUCGAGUGGCACGAGUGCACAUGAAAUGGUGCAUACAUUGCGUGAUAUAUUCUUUACUUCGCGGGAGGCAUUGGAAGAUGGGAGCAUCGAUCCAGCUGUGACCUUGACGCAUGUUUUUAACGUUGCACGGGCUCAAUUAAGCAGAUCGGGUUAUGAGUAUGUAUUGGAUAUGCCUAAUGAGGCCUAUAAUGGUGGUGCUAGUGCUAGUGGUGGUGUUGGUGAUAUUGUUCAGGCUCAUCGUAAAGGUAGACGACGAGAACGUGAACACUUAGGGGUGGACCGGCCAGGGGUACAACGCGGAAUGAAAGAAACUAAUGCAGCAAUACAAGUAGGGGCUAAUGCUGAGGCAGAGUUCGGGGGUGAUGGGCAUAUUCAGGACUAGAAUUGGCUUUAAAAGAUGCUGGACUGAGCUUUGACUCAGCAAUUUGUUAGACCCACAACUGUUAUGCCAAAUGCUGGCCCUUUGGGCUGAAGAAUGCAGUAAUAAAAAUGCUGUAGUGUAUGAGAAAAGAUAAUGUUAUUUUUGAUGUUGAUGAUUUUCUGGGUUCUUGAUGGUUGCCUA